GCCCUUCUAUGUAAAAUUCUUGGGUUCAGUUCCUGCAUUUGAAAACUUCCGUAUAUAAUAUUUUGACAAUAUAUAGUGUCUUGUCUGUAUCAAAAAUAUACGUAUAACGACACUACUCCGUAUAGCCCCUCUUUUUUAUUCUGUCACUGUACUGCAUAAAUGAUACCAUGUUUAAAAUAAGUAUAAAACUUGGAGAAAAAAAAGUAUUUCAAUUUGUUCGAAAUCAGUUGGAU
rnacentral:lncRNA from 1 species